rnacentral:rRNA from 1 species
UACGUAGGGCGCAAGCGUUGUCCGGAAUUAUUGGGCGUAAAGAGCUCGUAGGCGGUUGGUCGCGUCGGCUGUGAAAACCCGGAGCUCAACUCCGGGCCUGCAGUCGAUACGGGCCGACUUGAGUGUUGCAGGGGAGACUGGAAUUCCUGGUGUAGCGGUGAAAUGCGCAGAUAUCAGGAGGAACACCGGUGGCGAAGGCGGGUCUCUGGGCAACAACUGACGCUGAGGAGCGAAAGCGUGGGGAGCGAACAGG